rnacentral:rRNA from 1 species
GACGAACGCUGGCGGCGUGCUUAACACAUGCAAGUCGAACGGAAAGGCCCUGCUUUUGUGGGGUGCUCGAGUGGCGAACGGGUGAGUAACACGUGAGUAACCUGCCCUUGACUUUGGGAUAACUUCAGGAAACUGGGGCUAAUACCGGAUAGGAGCUCCUGCUGCAUGGGGGGGGUUGGAAAGUUUCGGCGGUUGGGGAUGGACUCGCGGCUUAUCAGCUUGUUGGUGGGGUAGUGGCUUACAAAGGCUUUGACGGGUAGCCGGCCUGAGAGGGUGACCGGCCACCUUGGGACUGCGGUACGGCCCAGACUCCUACGGGAGGCAGCAGUGGGGAACAUUGCACAAUGGGCGGAAGCCUGAUGCAGCAGCGCUGCGUGCGUGAUGCCGGCCUUCGGGUUGUAAACCGCUUUCGCCUGUGCCGAAGCGUGAGUGACGGUAAUUGGUCAGGAAGCCCCGGCUAACUACGUG